UACAGAGGAUGCAAGCGUUAUCCGGAAUGAUUGGGCGUAAAGCGUCUGUAGGUGGCUUUUUAAGUCCGCCGUCAAAUCCCAGGGCUCAACUCUGGACAGGCGGUGGAAACUACAUAGCUAGAGUAAGGUAGGGGUAGAGGGAAUUCCUGGUGUAGCGGUGAAAUGCGUAGAGAUCAGGAAGAACACCGGUGGCGAAAGCGCUCUGCUGGACCUUAACUGACACUGAGGGACGAAAGCUAGGGGAGCGAAUGGG
rnacentral:rRNA from 1 species